rnacentral:lncRNA from 1 species
CAUCCUUCCAGGGUUCUUAGCAUGGGGAGCUUUUAAAAUAUAAUUGUUUUCUUUGGUGAGCCUGUGUGUUUUACUUUGCUUAUUUGAAAGUAUUCGUCUGACGAGGAAGCCGUGGACACCAAGAGAUGAGCAAAGUGUUCAGAUGGACAAAGACAGUGUCCUCUACUUGAUUGACGACUUUGUAAUCUUUCUUCAGUCAUUUCCUGUGUGGAUUUACUCUUUCCAAUUAAAUUAUAAGCUGAGAUAAGAACUACAUCUUUCUGCUUCUCCCAUGUCCUUCUUCCUCUAAAUCAGCUAACUUAUCUUCGGCAGCAAAUAAUUAAAAAAUGAAAGCCUAUCUCAUCUGUCCUAGAAAUGAUGUACAGUCUUCAUCUCACAAGGCUUUUCAAGUAUAUUCUUCAUCUCAGUUAACAUUGAAGGAGGUGGAGUGAUCCUAGAACUACAUACUUUUGUGCUCAAAUACCAAAGAUGCCGUUUCUUUCCAUCUUUUGUCACGUCAUCCUCAGCGUGUCAACUGCAUUCUUUGGCUGUUUCAAACUUAAGAACUAAGCACCAGGGAAUUCCCACUGUGGCUCAGUGGGUUAAGCAUCCAACUACAGCGGCUCUGGUCGAGGCAGAGGUGAUCCCAGGCUUGGCCCAGUGGGUUAAAAAGAUCCAUCAUUGCCACAGUGGUGGCAUAGGUGGCAGCUGAGGCUCAGAUUCCACGGCCUGGGUGCAGCCAUUAAAAAACAACAGCAACAAAAAACGAAGCACUGCAAUAGGUACAGCUAGCUCCUUCCUUUUCAUCAUUUUUAUUUUCAGUGUAGGAACUCUUACUCAAGUCCUACUCUCCAGAAGAGUAUCCCAUGCCUCCUUGUCCAGAAUGGGACCACAUGCCAAAGCCAAUUAUUACUGACACAUCCAAUUGAGAUUUACUCCCGGACCUAGAGAUGGGCAGGCGUCUGAGUCACAUGGGCCAGGAGUGUGCCUCCAAGGCAAAACAGAGAGGGCCAAGGGCUUUGUCAGCAAGACACAGUGGGGUGAAACCUGCUGUGCUGUGGUCUGGUGUAUGGUGGUGUCGGCUGGGAUCCCAAAGACAGUUUUCAAUCAUCCAAAAUGAAGAGCAGAAUUGAAGCCAUCGUGGGCGCAGUUCAAACCACAGCGAUUCUGAAGUGCCUGUAUCACUGAAGCACAAGCAGAGCUUGCGUAGCAAAAUGAUAAUGACCUGGUGAAUCACUUUGUUUUACUGUCACAAACCUGUCACUACAAAACAUCAUUUUUUCCCUGCAAGAACAGAGAGUGUGCGUUUCUUCUUUCUUUAUUUAUGUUCCGCUUAAGCCCCUCAAGGAUUUAAGCAGGCUCAUUUAACUUUGAACAAGAGUGGGCAUACAAAUCUCCUUAAUAAUAAAAGCAAAUAACACGGGGCAAUAUUUUAAAAUGUUCUUUUUGUUUUUGCUACACAACCAUCCCAAAUAACAGACUCAGACAUGUAUGAAAUGGAGACAAUAAAAAGAUGACUUCGGACGUAUAAAUUGUCACAUCAGCAUUCUGUCUCCCUGUGCAUAUAGUGAAGAAAAAAAUAGAGUAGAAUUCUACAAACAUUCUAUAUUCUAGUUGACUGAAAUAUUUUAAUCCUUGUGUGUUAGUGUAUCAAGACCAGUGUACAGUACAGACUGGUCCUCAGACCGGACUGGACUGAUUCCAUUCAGUGCAACACGUCCUCUGCAAAUGCAACAAGCAAGGUACAGGUGAGACGCUAGGAAUACAGACCUGAUCAGGCCAAGGUGUUUGAAGAAGACAAGUGUGUCUCCAUGUGCAAUGCAUCAGACUGUAAUGAGGCCUAUAACUGAAGUAAUUUUUAUUUUUAUUUUUUUAUUUUUAUUUUUGUCGUUUUAGGGCUGCACCUGUGGCAUAUGGAGGGUCCCAGGCCCGGAGUCAUAUUGGAGCUGUAUCUGCCGGCCUAUACCACAGCCACAGCAACUCGGGAUCUGAGCCACAUCUGUGACCUACACCACAGCUCUCGGCAAUGCCAGAUCCUUAACCCACUGAGCGAGGCCCGGGAUCGAGCCUGUAACCUGAUGGAUGCUAGUCAGAUUCAUUUCUGCUGAGCCCCACUGGGAAAUCCCUGAAGCAAUUAUUAAAAGAAAAAAAAGACGGUUAUUUCACAUAAAGGAAAAGCAUAAGCAGCGGCAAGUGUGGCCCCCUGGCCGGGUGACUCACCGGGGUCAGUUCUGGGAUGAGUCACUUUGCAAGAAGCUCGCCAGGAGCAUUUGCACCUUGACUUAUGGCUCUUAAAGAACCAUGCAGAAGAUCUGAGUAUCUUGUCCACAGCAACUCUUCCAAAUCCUCUGAGUUGGGCAUUUCUGCCCCUUCCUACGACCUGAGGACGCUCCUGUUCUCCUGCCUGAGAAGAGUUCAUCCCACGGUCACUUCUGUUUUCUCCAUCCCUCUCACUCCAAGCCCCGUGCAUGCUGACCUUCUCGCGUUCUGCUUCCAAACCCCGGUUUGACGCAGGUGGCCUUUCUCUUCAUCCCCCUUUCUUCCAGUCAUUCUGAUGCACUUGUUCAUUGCCCUAUAUUCAGAAAGGCCCUCCAAAACUGGGACGAGAAAGUGGUAUUAUACUUCUUCUCCGCAGGAAGUCGCGGACCCCCACAGGUUAAAACUUUCUGUCUUAGCACAGAAGAAAGCAUUGAUCUUCGCCAGGCACCACCAAGCACCGAAGGCAGAAAGGAGGCUGGAGCUGAGAUGUGGAAAUUGGUCUGGGGACCGAUUAUGAAGAGUCCUGAGUCUGAAGCUAGAAUUACAUUUCUAAGAAAGUGAACAGCCUUUCAGAUCUGUGUUUUAGUGACGGAAUAUCUUGACUGUAUGGAGCUCAUGGAAGCGAUAAUUUCUAACUCCGAUCCCUUCUGGACUUCUCCAAACAUAACUACCUCGGGAGAGGGGCUUCUGCUCGGAUGAAGGGAGCCUGCGCUAACUUUUCCAAAUGAACAUUUCAAAUAGAGAGACGUCCAUAAAUGUGGUUGCCCUGAAUCAGUCGCCCACUCUAAGGUCUUGGCCUCUCUGUCAGGCUUCCAGCAAUGAGAAGUACCAGCUAUAAUUCCCCCCCCAUACAAUUGUCCCUUUCAUGCACGUAAUUAGGCUGAUAAUUGUUCUGUUAGUUCCCAGCUGUAUCAUCCUGGGCAUGGGAGUUCAUUUCACAAAUAUCCACUGCAGAACCCCUAGAAGAGUCGUUUUGGGCAGAAGGAUGUUGACCCACAAAUGCAGGUUUAAUUCCUCCCCCUCCUUCCAGUUCUGAAUUGCAGAUGGCGUUACAUGGAGUCACAACUCAACGGCUCUAACCCUUCACAGACCCUAACUCUUCAGGUCCCUACAAGGUUUUGGUUUCCAGAUGAAGAAACCAAGAUUCCCAGGUGAAAUAAUAGGAAUCCCAGCAAAACCUCUCAAUUCAGAAGGCAACAUUUUUUGACCUUUAAUAGGAGUCUUCAUCUUUGGUUUCUUUUUCUUUUCUUUUCUUUUCUUUUCUUUUCUUUUCUUUUCUUUUCUUUUCUUUUCUUUCCUUCUUUCUUUUUCUUUCUUUCUUUCUUUCUUUCUUUCUUUCUUUCUUUCAUUCUUUCUUUCUUUCUCUUUCUUUCUUCCUUCCUUCCUUCCUUCCUUCCUUCCUUCCUUCCUUCCUUCCGUCCUUUCUUUCUUCCUUUUUUCUUUUUGGCUGCACUUGGGGUAUCUGGAAAUUCCUGGACUAGGGAUCGAAUCAGAGCUGCGGCUGAGGGCUACGCCACAGCCACAGCAACCCUGGAUCCAAGACGCCUCUGCAACAAGGCCAAAUCCUUACCGUACUGAACAAGGCCAUGGUUUGAACCUGCAUCCUCAGAGAGGCAGCAUUGGGUUCUUAACCCCCUGAGCCACAGCAGGAACUCCCAUCUUUGGUUUCUCAUGUGAAUGCUCCAUUCUGAGGUAUCCAAAACCAUUUCCCUCACAGUGUGGACGUUUAAUAAGUGUCCUUUAAGGAUGCCUGAAAAUAUAAAAUGAUAAAAAUCAUUCUCACCCACUUUUUUCCUAAGAAAGUAAUUAGCUCUACCCUUCACAGACGGAUCGUUAAGAAUGUGCCAGCAGAACUCCCCACAUUGUCCUAAAGACAAAAAUCAUUGAGCAAGGGGUACCCUGGGAACGUUUACCUUGGCUCUCCCCUGGAUAAGCCGGUGGUAUCAUCAACAGGCAGAAGGUGAGUCACUUAUGCCGACAUGACUGCUGGGGGCUGGUGAAAACUGGUGUGUGUAGAGCAUCACUGGACCUAGAGAAGAAAGCAAAAGCAGGAUUGGUUGCCCGUGUAUCGACAACCAAUUAAAUGAUGUGAGACAAGACUUUGAGAGCUCACCUACGCUACACAUCCAAGUGGAAGAAGCAACAGAAAACGUCCCUCCCUUGUCAGCCCGCUGGGAAGCAAACCUCAGUUAGAGUAGCUGACAGAGUGCUGAGUGGUGGGGAUCCCUCUCACCUCACAGUGGGAGUUCCCUUUGAAUCACAUGAGAGAAGAAGCCUGCCUCGUGCUUGCUGAGUUAUUGCCCCAGUCUCAAAAGGAGCCUCCUGGUGUCUUUUGCUGUUAAUCAUGUAUACUCUGCAGCAGCUUAAUCUACUCGGGACUCUCUCCAGUGAUUGCAUGAGAACAUAUUCCCAGGCACCUUUUUUAUUUUUUUUCCCCAGCUCCCUUUUCCCUGGGCUUCUCUGCCUCAACUCUCCUUCAGAAGUUACACUCGAAAAGCUUAGUAACAAUUGGAAUCUAACUACAUUUUAACAUAACACUUACAUUCAUGCUUCUGUUCACACUGUAAAAGGUAAUCUUUGAAUGGUUUAAGCAUCUGGAUUCUAUUACAGCAAAGUGUAGCACUUAAAAUGGAAGAAACUUUUUACAUUUGCGUGGAAUUCAGGCAGCUGCCUGAGCCACCCUUGGGCCUAGUUGUUUCAAAGAGAUUUGCAACAGGCUUAAGUCAGAAAUGAUAAAA